UCGAGGCGAGUUUGUUUAAUGUUUUUAUCCUCCAUACAGUGUAAGCAGGUGCGGUCGACAAAUAUUAAUAUAUAUAAAUAGUUCCCAGUGAAGUUCUUGAUAUGAGCUUUUCGUUUGGAACUUCUGAAAAAUCAAAACCAGCAUCAGCAGCUGUCGGACAUCAACCUCGUAGGCGACGAUUGACGGAUGGCUAAAAGGUAAACUAGCUCCCGAACCAUCGGUGGGGUAUUGUCUCAGCUCUGCGAAUCGCUGAUCCUAGACAUUAUCGAAAGUUACCAGCUGCGGAAUCUAUUAAUCCACCAGAAACUGUCGCAGUUUUACCAGCUACGGAAUCAAUUAAUCCGCCAGCAACCGUCGCAGUUCUACAAUUCCGAGCUCCACGGAUGUCCCAAGAAUAUUACAGAUUCCCACACGACAGGCCCAAUUGCCCAACAGUAAACCAGUGGUCUUUUAACGAAUAAGAACAACAGGGUGUGCGGGUGCAAAGAUUUACGGCACCUAAGACGAAUGGAACCAAGACCGAUGGAAUCGCGCGGUCCGGUCUGGAAGGUCCAACCGGCCGUAAAAAAUCAUUCCCGGAUAACGUGAAGAUCUUUUCGAUGUUGGAUACAAUUUGAUUGCGGCCUAGUCUUGUUAUUCCCGGAAGUGGCCGACAAGAAGAACAGACGGCGCACAGCUCAAGACAGAGGAGAAAUGAAACGUGAGUCAGGUAGGCUGUUAUUGCUUUUUGGACCAAAAGCUGCUAUUCAAUGCUGAUGUUUCAAUAACAUCCGGAUCACAGAUUUGUCAACGGAUUGGUCUCGGUGUGGUCAGUCGCAACUGUUCCAUUUCCAUCAAUCUUUCCACCAUCUACAGUACCCUCAGCCAAGUCACCAGUUCCGGAAUUGCCUGCCAUCAAAAGUUCACCCAGUUGUGAUCCUGGGCUUGCUACAAUUGAUGUUUCAUCCACCUCACAGAUUAGAAGCUGAUAGGAAUGGAAUUGCUUCUAUCAGUUCUGACAUUGGGUGCCAUGAAUGAUGUUCCCUCGCUGCUAGUAAUGCAGCAAUAAUCAGGCAUCCGACAAUAUAAAGGCUGCAUACCUCCUGGCUGUCCUCGGCGGCAACGCCAGCCCAUCGAGUGCCGACAUCGAGAAGAUCCCGAGCUCGGUUGGUAUCGAGGCCGAUUCAACUCACGUCACCAA